GUAACUUUAAUAAUAAUCAUGAUCUGUGCAGAAACAAGGAUUUAUAGAGCGUGAUAAAUAGCACUCCACCCGUCGUCUGCUCGCAUGCAGCCACUUGCGUGACAAGGUUUUCGGUUGAAAGUCCCCAUAAAGAAAUUUCUUAACUGAUUUUUAUUCACACAAAAAAAAACCAAUUUAAGGACGAAAGUGAUUUCUGCUUUCUAUCCGAUAACAUCAUUUAAUAUGGUUGCCUAAAUAUGGGUUGCUUAUUUUCAAGCAUGGCUGACACUGCAUGGCAAAGAUCGUUCACAUGGCCGUUUCAAGAAACUACGACUUGCUAAUGGUUGAAUUUCGACGUCGUGACCAGUUGGAAAGUAACAAACCGCAAGCAAAAUGAAACUAACUUUUUUCACAAUCUGUGUCAUGGAGUGUAACAAGGCUAUUCACCAUGUGAUGGUUACAUUAUUAAUUUUGGUUUACAUUACCUAACACUUGGUGAAAAGCUUGGUGGCUAUGGCAAUUAUUUAGUUAUCUAAACCGAAUUACACGAUAAAUUCCCCAGCUUUUUUAUUGCUAUUUGCUAUUUUCCUAUGUUUCUAACUCUUUGCCAUACCUAUCGGACCCAGCCAUCUAGCGGCUGACGAAACCAACGGCGCAGACUACAGAGAUCAGUGUAUCUUGUCCAAUAUAGUAGACCGUAGCGCACCAGUGUCACUCAAAUCAAACACAGUUUAGUAGACUGUAGCGCAACAAUGGCAUAAAGAAAAAUGAAAUUUUUUGAAAAAUUGGUUAAAAUAUUUCAGAGAACUAAAAAACUGUAUUUAAUAAUUUUACAGGCUUAGAUGAAUGUAUAAUUAUGGUUUCAUUGAACCUAUUGCACAAGCCACUGGAAGAAUAGCAGACUCCUUCGAUGUUCAAUUGGCUAGACAUUGUUUUGAUAGCAUAUAUUGUAAACAGACUGAAAAGCUGUGACAGCAGAAAACAGUUCUCGAACAAAAAAAGCUUCAAGAUGUUGGCAAAGAUUUCCAUAACAGUAAAUAGAGCAGGAAAGUACUAUUCUACAAUACCUGGCAGAACCACUAACUUUGUCUCACAUCGAUCAGCUAUUGCUACUGGUGUGAAUACCCUAACUGCCACACAGAUUCUUGUUUUGCAUGAUCUCGCAUGAAAAGUAGAGUGUGGUGGAAGUCAGUAGCUGCUUGUGCUUUUUAUCUGUCUGAAGCUUUAGUUUGAAAUAUAUCUAUCCCAUGUCAAUUGAUCUGAUAAUUUGCCAUGAAUCCAUUUCAUCAUUCAGCUCAGUAGAUUUAACUGGUCUGUUAUAUUAAGUAGUGAUCUUUGUAUCCUAAUUGGAGCCCCUCCUUAUUUUUAUUUCUGCUUAUUGGAGUUGGAAUUAGAAGAGCAAUCGAUGGGCGCCAAGAUGGGAAAGUCAUCAUCUACGAUUAUCCGUUCGCAACGAAAUGCAUCCACAUCCUGCAAUGGUAACUUCACAUUGAAGAAAAUAUGAAGAGAAUAGUCAAUA